UGUUUAUUUAACCCCUUCCUGAACUUUGCCAGCACUGGAGGUCCCACAGUGUGUCCCUGCCAGCGCUGUCAGAGUUUUGGUUACAGCCUGUGGCGUGGAUGUGUUGUUACACAAGUGCUUCACAGCAAGGACAGCGGGUUUCUUUUCUCCCCUUAUUAGCAGCACUGAUGUGAAGCUCCUUCAUCCCCUAGAACAGCAGUAGCAGAGGGAGGGGGCAAGGGCAGCAAUUAAAUCUGUGUCAGUGCUCUCUGUGGGCAAAGCCUGAGGCUGCUCAGGACUCUGGAUCUGAACCCUCCCAUCUCCUUUCCUCUUCCUUCUGUCAGGUGAAAUGGUCUGGGCUUGUGCUGUGCAUCCUCCUCCCAGUCUUGCUGCAAAGGCUCCUCUCUUCUGGACGUGCUGAUCCACAGGGAACAGCAGAAGAUGCAGGCACCUUACAGGAUCUGGGUUUGUGCAGCUUUCCUGUCCCGUGAUUCCAAUCCUCCCGGCUUCAUCAGCACUCAGUGCAAAAAUUUUUGGAAGCGGCAAGGUCAGCUCUGGAGGAUUGGGGCAGGUUUCCAGGUGGGACUUCAGGACAUAGCAGGGCACCUGCCUCAGUUUCCCCCUUCAGGCUGGAUGAACCGAAGGGAUAAAAUCCUUGCCCUUGCCUAGAGAACAUUUGUAACAUCCCCACAAAGGCUUCUUGCCAGCCAAGACCUUCAGGCCAUCCCCCAGACAGACCAGAAGAAAAGGGCUGAGCCACUGGGUUUGGAAACAUCCUGCACAGAAGAUGCUGUGGAUGGAUUUGCAGGCGAGCUGCUGGAGGAGGAAUCCGAGGGCUUUCCACAGGUGCACGGGGUGGUUUUCCUGAGGGCCAGGCAUGACCAGGGAUCAGGAGUGGGAAGGUGCUCCUUGGAGAAGUCUGCAGGGCAGACCUCAGCCUUGCUCUUAACCCUGUUCAGCCUACGGAUGCUCCAAAGCCGUGAGGAAACGAUGGCACUACAUGAUUUUAUUUCUGCCUAAAGCCAAGUUUCUGCCAGGAAAAUUUCUCCCACGUAUCCUGAACUGAGCCUGCGUGGGCAGCCCCCAGCAGCUGGUGCUGUCUCCCACCAAAGCCCAGUGGCAGCGAGUGCAGCAGGGAGGCCAGAGCUGCAUCCCAAAAUAAUUGGGGUCCUCAUGAGAUGGAGAGCAGCGAGCUCAGCCGGGAGGAGUGAAAACCACUUAUCCCACAAAGAUACCCCUGGAGCCGUGGGUGAUGCUGGGGGAUGAUGGUCCAAGGGAGAACCCUGUGGCAGCACCUCAGCCCACUGAUGCUGCAGGAAAGAGCUCAGCUCUUCCCACAGCCACCAUCCUCCUGCCACCCCUGUCCCCAUCUUCCUGCCAUCCCUGUGUCCCUGCCAUCCCUGUGUCCCUGCCAGCCCCGACCUGCAGCUCCCUCUGGGCUUUCAGAUGUUUCUACAAUGCCAGCCAGGGCUGGGAGCAGCAUGCUACUGUAGGCAUGAGUGCAGAAUCAGUCCCUUUCCUACCAGCUGUCAAAAAGUAUUAUUUAAUCUCAAAUAGUUCUCAGUAGCUUUUUUUUUGUUGUUGUUUCCUCUAGUUUGUUUUAAGAAGGUUGUUGAGUGUGAGAAAGCAGGAAGCAGUGUCAAUAACACAGUGGGUUUUUUUCUUUUCACAGACACCCUUUGAACUCCCUUUACUCUGCCUCCCCUCCAGUUACAUUUACACACCCUAUAAAUAACCUUCCAGGGCUUUGAAAUGCUUUUAUUAAAGCUAAGAGUGGAGAUUUUUUUUUCCAAAUCCAGUGUUAUUUGCUGCAUUAUCUGUAGACAACCUUCAGCAUAAUUACUAUAAAUGGCUUUAGGUUUUAACCCAUCCCUGGGUGUGCUGAAUGAGAAGGAAAACCGGGCAGAAAAGUGGCAGAAGCUUGGGCAGGAGAUGAUGGAUGUGCUGGGACCCCAUGGCCCCAGCUCUCUGGGGUCUGUGGGGUGAGGGGAGCUGAGCCCAAGCCUGACCCAAUUCCCUGCCCACGGUCAUCCCUGGGGACAGCUGCCCUGGACACUUGCAAGGUCCUACACGAGCACUGGAUGUCUGAGUCCUGCAGUCCCUGCAGCAGCAGCUCUGCUGGCCCCCACUGGGACCAGUGUUUGGGGGUGAAGGCUGUGGGUCCAUGAGCAGGGUCUCCCCAAGUCCAGCCUGCCCUGCCCAAAACCCUGCACAUGUACAGGUGUCACCUCUGCACCCAGGGAGGGAACCUGGGCCACCACCCUCAUGUUUGGGGUCAGUUCAGCACAAUCUGCCUCUCUGGGAUGGAUAUUUCUGUUGCUUUGUUGUUGCUUUAGCCUUUACCUUGGUAACUCCCAAUUUUCACCCAUUUAAGCCAGAAAACGCUGGUUUUUCAUAAUAAUUCUCUGCUGCCCUGCAGAGCUCUGUUCCUUGGCUUCCUAUGCCAGAAGCAUUGCAGAUCUGGCAAUAAGGUUUGGGAUUUCUUUGCUCUGGGAACCAC